AGAAAGAAGAGCAGUGUAGUUAUGAAAAACAUAUCGCAGUGUAGAUAAUAUCUGUUGUUUUAUUCAUUCCGAAGCCACAGAUAUCUCUGGCAAAAGUUGGCAUUUAUUCUUCAUCUUUAAUUGUCCUACUUUGAUCCAAUUUUGUGGCUUCUUAGGUCACUUUCAGAAGAUGAUUCAGUCGCCCACAAAGGUGUGAGGUGCAAAUCGUAUAUCGGCUUGUCACUGUAUGGAAGACGGGCUCCUCAUUACCUAACAGAUUUUAUUUUAAUCCGAACUCUAACCGCCUGAUUACAAACUGACUUGCAUCACUCAGAUUAUGAUUCCAAAGUCAGGGAAUACUGGGAACACUUGGCAAAAAAACGAAAUGCUGUAAAAACACCGUGGGUUUGGCAGCAUCCGUGGAAAGAAUUGACAGUGAUCAUUCUGACCUGGGCCUUUUGCUUUGAGAGCGUGCAAACUCCACGCAGACAGCACCCGAGGUCGGGAUCAAACCAGGGUCUUUGGCGUGGGAAGCAGCAGCUCUACCAGCUGCGCCACUGUGCUGCCAGUGGCAUUAGUUCAGUCGGUAU